rnacentral:rRNA from 1 species
UACGUAGGGGGCUAGCGUUGUCCGGAUUUAUUGGGCGUAAAGAGCGUGUAGGCGGCCAGGUAGGUCUGGUGUGAAAACUCGAGGCUUAACCUCGAGAUGUCAUCGGAAACCAUUUGGCUAGAGUCCGGAAGAGGAGAGUGGAAUUCCUGGUGUAGCGGUGAAAUGCGCAGAUAUCAGGAAGAACACCAAUGGCGAAAGCAGCUCUCUGGGACGGUACUGACGCUGAGACGCGAAAGCGUGGGGGAGCAAACAGG